rnacentral:snRNA from 1 species
GUGCUCACUUCAGCAGCACAUAUACUGAAAUUGGAACAUUCAGAGAAGAUUAACAUGGUCUCUGCCCAAGAAUAACAUGCAAAUUCGUCAAGUUCUCCAUUUUUAA